rnacentral:rRNA from 1 species
UAGGGAAUCUUCCACAAUGGGCGAAAGCCUGAUGGAGCAACGCCGCGUGUGUGAUGAAGGGUUUCGGCUCGUAAAACGCUGUUGUAAGAGAAGAAUGACAUUGAGAGUAACUGUUCAAUGUGUGACGGUAUCUUACCAGGGAGGAACGGCUAAAUACGCGCCAG